rnacentral:rRNA from 1 species
UACGAAGGGGGCUAGCGUUGCUCGGAAUCACUGGGCGUAAAGCGCACGUAGGCGGCUUGUUAAGUCAGGGGUGAAAUCCUGGAGCUCAACUCCAGAACUGCCUUUGAUACUGGCGAGCUUGAGUCCGGGAGAGGUGAGUGGAACUGCGAGUGUAGAGGUGAAAUUCGUAGAUAUUCGGAAGAACACCAGUGGCGAAGGCGACUGACUGGACAAGUAUUGACGCUGAGGUGCGAAAGCGUGGGGAGCAAACAGG